CACGUAGGGUGCGAGCGUUGUCCGGAAUUAUUGGGCGUAAAGAGCUCGUAGGCGGUGUGUCGCGUCGGCCGUGAAAACCUGCAGCUUAACUGUGGGCUUGCGGUCGAUACGGGCAUCACUGGAGUUCGGCAGGGGAGACUGGAAUUCCUGGUGUAGCGGUGAAAUGCGCAGAUAUCAGGAGGAACACCCGGUGGCGAAGGCGGGCUCUG
rnacentral:rRNA from 1 species